GUGGGGAAUAUUGCACAAUGGGCGAAAGCCUGAUGCAGCAACGCCGCGUGAGCGAUGAAGGCCUUCGGGUCGUAAAGCUCUGUCCUCAAGGAAGAUAAUGACGGUACCUGAGGGGGACGCCCCGGCUAACUACGUGCCAGCAGCCGCGGUAAUACGUAGGGGGCUAGCGUUAUCCGGAAUUACUGGGCGUAAAGGGUGCGUAGGUGGUUUCUUAAGUCAGAGGUGAAAGGCUACGGCUCAACCGUAGUAAGCCUUUGAAACUGGGGAACUUGAGUGCAGGAGAGGAGAGUGGAAUUCCUAGUGUAGCGGUGAAAUGCGUAGAUAUUAGGAGGAACACCAGUUGCGAAGGCGGCUCUCUGGACUGUAACUGACACUGAGGCACGAAAGCGUGGGGAGCAAACAGG
rnacentral:rRNA from 1 species